AGAGUUUGAUCAUGGCUCAGAUUGAACGCUGGCGGCAGGCCUAACACAUGCAAGUCGAACGGUAACAGGAAACAGCUUGCUGUUUCGCUGACGAGUGGCGGACGGGUGAGUAAUGUCUGGGAAACUGCCUGAUGGAGGGGGAUAACUACUGGAAACGGUAGCUAAUACCGCAUAACGUCGCAAGACCAAAGAGGGGGACCUUCGGGCCUCUUGCCAUCGGAUGUGCCCAGAUGGGAUUAGCUUGUUGGUGGGGUAACGGCUCACCAAGGCGACGAUCCCUAGCUGGUCUGAGAGGAUGACCAGCCACACUGGAACUGAGACACGGUCCAGACUCCUACGGGAGGCAGCAGUGGGGAAUAUUGCACAAUGGGCGCAAGCCUGAUGCAGCCAUGCCGCGUGUAUGAAGAAGGCCUUCGGGUUGUAAAGUACUUUCAGCGGGGAGGAAGGGAGUAAAGUUAAUACCUUUGCUCAUUGACGUUACCCGCAGAAGAAGCACCGGCUAACUCCGUGCCAGCAGCCGCGGUAAUACGGAGGGUGCAAGCGUUAAUCGGAAUUACUGGGCGUAAAGCGCACGCAGGCGGUUUGUUAAGUCAGAUGUGAAAUCCCCGGGCUCAACCUGGGAACUGCAUCUGAUACUGGCAAGCUUGAGUCUCGUAGAGGGGGGUAGAAUUCCAGGUGUAGCGGUGAAAUGCGUAGAGAUCUGGAGGAAUACCGGUGGCGAAGGCGGCCCCCUGGACGAAGACUGACGCUCAGGUGCGAAAGCGUGGGGAGCAAACAGGAUUAGAUACCCUGGUAGUCCACGCCGUAAACGAUGUCGACUUGGAGGUUGUGCCCUUGAGGCGUGGCUUCCGGAGCUAACGCGUUAAGUCGACCGCCUGGGGAGUACGGCCGCAAGGUUAAAACUCAAAUGAAUUGACGGGGGCCCGCACAAGCGGUGGAGCAUGUGGUUUAAUUCGAUGCAACGCGAAGAACCUUACCUGGUCUUGACAUCCACGGAACUUUCCAGAGAUGGAAAUGUGCCUUCGGGAACCGUGAGACAGGUGCUGCAUGGCUGUCGUCAGCUCGUGUUGUGAAAUGUUGGGUUAAGUCCCGCAACGAGCGCAACCCUUAUCCUUUGUUGCCAGCGGUCCGGCCGGGAACUCAAAGGAGACUGCCAGUGAUAAACUGGAGGAAGGUGGGGAUGACGUCAAGUCAUCAUGGCCCUUACGACCAGGGCUACACACGUGCUACAAUGGCGCAUACAAAGAGAAGCGACCUCGCGAGAGCAAGCGGACCUCAUAAAGUGCGUCGUAGUCCGGAUUGGAGUCUGCAACUCGACUCCAUGAAGUCGGAAUCGCUAGUAAUCGUGGAUCAGAAUGCCACGGUGAAUACGUUCCCGGGCCUUGUACACACCGCCCGUCACACCAUGGGAGUGGGUUGCAAAAGAAGUAGGUAGCUUAACCUUCGGGAGGGCGCUUACCACUUUGUGAUUCAUGACUGGGGUGAAGUCGUAACAAGGUAACCGUAGGGGAACCUGCGGUUGGAUCACCU
rnacentral:rRNA from 1 species